rnacentral:rRNA from 1 species
GAUGAACGCUGGCGGCGUGCCUAAUACAUGCAAGUCGGGCGAACGGACGAGAAGCUUGCUUCUCUGAUGUUAGCGGCGGACAGGUGAGUAACACGUGGAUAACCUACCUAUAAGACUGGGAUAACUUCGGGAAACCGGAGCUAAUACCGGAUGAUAUUUUGAACCGCAUGGUUCAAAAGUGAAAGACGGUCUUGCUGUCACUUAUAGAUGGAUCCGCGCUGCAUUAGCUAGUUGGUAAGGUAACGGCUUACCAAGGCAACGAUGCAUAGCCGACCUGAGAGGGUGAUCGGCCACACUGGAACUGAGACACGGUCCAGACUCCUACGGGAGGCAGCAGUAGGGAAUCUUCCGCAAUGGGCGAAAGCCUGACGGAGCAACGCCGCGUGAGUGAUGAAGGUCUUCGGAUCGUAAAACUCUGUUAUUAGGGAAGAACAUAUGUGUAAGUAACUGUGCACAUCUUGACGGUACCUAAUCAGAAAGCCACGGCUAACUACGUG